GGAAUCUGAAAACUGCAAUAGAGAAUGCCCACAUAGGCCCACAGCGACUACCUCUGUGCUUCACAACCAAAGACAUUUCUGGCAUUAAGGGCAAAAAAGAGCUUUCAUAGUAUCCUCUCUCCUAGCAAGGGCCCUACCUGCAAUGAAACAGAGCUGUUACCCAUCUUAAUUUCAGUGGGGCCAAUUUACGCAAAGGUUGAAUAAAUCCUGGGGUCAAUGAGAGCUGUAUUGUAUUAGGAAAAUAGAAGCCAUUCAGUAUAUUUCAGGUAAGAAGGACUUAGUAUAAGAAUUAAGGGCUUAACCGUUGGAAGAACUGGGGAAACAAAGGUCAGAGAAGUUCCCACAGGAGGUCGAGAACGCCAACACAGAUCUCAGCCAAAAGUUCCAGAGUUCUCAAGAGCUUGCCUGGAAGCUACUGCAAUUCUAAAGAACAUCGAUGUGAAAUCUCCAUCUUCCCACUCAUCUGGCUGCAACUGCCUACAGAGAAUAAUGUCUUCUCAUUUACCUUCCAAAUCUCAUGUCUUCUGGGUCUAUCUUUGAAAAGGAUGAGAUUUCUGAGCUUCAUCUUUCCGUAAGGAAUUAAGAAGUGAUGGAGAUUCCCCUUCACAAAAAGUGCCUGUAACUGCCCUGUGUUGAGUUGGCUGGUGCCCACGUUUGCUUAUGGAGGGGUGAGGAAGGAUAAGGAAGAGGAAAAUUGAGAGAAGCUGUGGGAUGGUGGGAGGUCAUCUAGAGAGAAGCUGGGUUGUUGAAUCCUGUGGGAGAGUUUUCACUGGGCUUGAAUUCGUUGCACAUGAACUCUGACUCAGAGAGGAGCUGGAUGGAACGUAAGACCCUGUGUUCAUUCCUUUAAUGUCCUCAGAGAGAGAUCCUUGGCCACAUUUGUUUUCCUGUUUGUGUUUUUUCACUUUUUUAUUGAAGUCUAACAAUACAGUAAAGUGCACAAAUCUUAAAUACACAGCUCAAUUAAUUUUUAUGAAUGUAUAAUGAAUUUUUAUGAAAUGAAUGAAUUUUUAUGAAACCACCGUCUAGAUCAAAAUAAAGAAUAUUUCUAGCACACCAGAAGGCUCCUUUGGGCCUCUUUCCAAUCACCCCACCUCCUACCCCAGAGGUAACCACUAUUCCAACUUUGUCUUGCCUGUUCUUGAACUUUGUGUAAGCAGAACUUGUGUCUGGCUUCUUUUAUUCAACUUUUAUGUCUGUGAAAUUUAUCCAUGUUGUCCCAUGUAUUAGUAGUUGAUUCUUUUUCACUGCUGUUUUCCAUUAUAUGACUACCACAAUUAAUCCAUUCUACUGUCAAUGUGCAGUUUGGG
rnacentral:lncRNA from 1 species